UCGGGAAUUUUGGGCAAUGGGCGAAAGCCUGACCCAGCAACGCCGCGUGAGGGAUGAAGUAUUUCGGUAUGUAAACCUCGAAAGGAUGGGAAGAAUAAAUGACGGUACCAUUUAUAAGCUCCGGCUAACUACGUGCCAGCAGCCGCGGUAAUACGUAGGGAGCAAGCGUUGUUCGGAUUUACUGGGCGUAAAGGGCGCGUAGGCGGCGCGGUAAGUCACUUGUGAAAUCUCUGAGCUUAACUCAGAACGGCCAAGUGAUACUGCUGUGCUAGAGGGCGGAAGAGGCAACCGGAAUUCUUGGUGUAGCGGUGAAAUGCGUAGAUAUCAAGAGGAACACCUGAGGCGAAGGCGGGUUGCUGGGCCGACACUGACGCUGAUGCGCGAAAGCCAGGGGAGCAAACG
rnacentral:rRNA from 1 species